rnacentral:rRNA from 1 species
ACGGGAGACACACGGCGGGUGCUAACGUCCGUCGUGAAGAGGGAAACAACCCAGACCGCCAGCUAAGGUCCCAAAGUCAUGGUUAAGUGGGAAACGAUGUGGGAAGGCCCAGACAGCCAGGAUGUUGGCUUAGAAGCAGCCAUCAUUUAAAGAAAGCGUAAUAGCUCACUGGUCGAGUCGGCCUGCGCGGAAGAUGUAACGGGGCUAAACCAUGCACCGAAGCUGCGGCAGCGACGCUGAUGCGUUGUUGGGUAGGGGAGCGUUCUGUAAGCCUGCGAAGGUGUGCUGUGAGGCAUGCUGGAGGUAUCAGAAGUGCGAAUGCUGACAUAAGUAACGAUAAAGCGGGUGAAAAGCCCGCUCGCCGGAAGACCAAGGGUUCCUGUCCAACGUUAAUCGGGGCAGGGUGAGUCGACCCCUAAGGCGAGGCCGAAAGGCGUAGUCGAUGGGAAACAGGUUAAUAUUCCUGUACUUGGUGUUACUGCGAAGGGGGGACGGAGAAGGCUAUGUUGGCCGGGCGACGGUUGUCCCGGUUUAAGCGUGUAGGCUGGUUUUCCAGGCAAAUCCGGAAAAUCAAGGCUGAGGCGUGAUGACGAGGCACUACGGUGCUGAAGCAACAAAUGCCCUGCUUCCAGGAAAAGCCUCUAAGCAUCAGGUAACAUCAAAUCGUACCCCAAACCGACACAGGUGGUCAGGUAGAGAAUACCAAGGCGCUUGAGAGAACUCGGGUGAAGGAACUAGGCAAAAUGGUGCCGUAACUUCGGGAGAAGGCACGCUGAUAUGUAGGUGAAGCGACUUGCUCGUGGAGCUGAAAUCAGUCGAAGAUACCAGCUGGCUGCAACUGUUUAUUAAAAACACAGCACUGUGCAAACACGAAAGUGGACGUAUACGGUGUGACGCCUGCCCGGUGCCGGAAGGUUAAUUGAUGGGGUUAGCGCAAGCGAAGCUCUUGAUCGAAGCCCCGGUAAACGGCGGCCGUAACUAUAACGGUCCUAAGGUAGCGAAAUUCCUUGUCGGGUAAGUUCCGACCUGCACGAAUGGCGUAAUGAUGGCCAGGCUGUCUCCACCCGAGACUCAGUGAAAUUGAACUCGCUGUGAAGAUGCAGUGUACCCGCGGCAAGACGGAAAGACCCCGUGAACCUUUACUAUAGCUUGACACUGAACAUUGAGCCUUGAUGUGUAGGAUAGGUGGGAGGCUUUGAAGUGUGGACGCCAGUCUGCAUGGAGCCGACCUUGAAAUACCACCCUUUAAUGUUUGAUGUUCUAACGUUGACCCGUGAUCCGGGUUGCGGACAGUGUCUGGUGGGUAGUUUGACUGGGGCGGUCUCCUCCUAAAGAGUAACGGAGGAGCACGAAGGUUGGCUAAUCCUGGUCGGACAUCAGGAGGUUAGUGCAAUGGCAUAAGCCAGCUUGACUGCGAGCGUGACGGCGCGAGCAGGUGCGAAAGCAGGUCAUAGUGAUCCGGUGGUUCUGAAUGGAAGGGCCAUCGCUCAACGGAUAAAAGGUACUCCGGGGAUAACAGGCUGAUACCGCCCAAGAGUUCAUAUCGACGGCGGUGUUUGGCACCUCGAUGUCGGCUCAUCACAUCCUGGGGCUGAAGUAGGUCCCAAGGGUAUGGCUGUUCGCCAUUUAAAGUGGUACGCGAGCUGGGUUUAGAACGUCGUGAGACAGUUCGGUCCCUAUCUGCCGUGGGCGCUGGAGAACUGAGGGGGGCUGCUCCUAGUACGAGAGGACCGGAGUGGACGCAUCACUGGUGUUCGGGUUGUCAUGCCAAUGGCACUGCCCGGUAGCUAAAUGCGGAAGAGAUAAGUGCUGAAAGCAUCUAAGCACGAAACUUGCCCCGAGAUGAGUUCUCCCUGACUCCUUGAGAGUCCUGAAGGAACGUUGAAGACGACGACGUUGAUAGGCCGGGUGUGUAAGCGCAGCGAUGCGUUGAGCUAACCGGUACUAAUGAACCGUGAGGCUUAACCUUACAACGCCGAAGCUGUU